rnacentral:tRNA from 1 species
UGCGCGAAGUGCUCGACGAGGCCACCGGCAUCACCUCCAAGGUGGUGGUGGACUGGAAGCAGCAGCCGCGCGGCUCCGAUCUGCGUCCCCGCAUC